AGAGUUUGAUCCUGGCUCAGGAUGAACGCUGGCGGCGUGCUUAACACAUGCAAGUCGAACGAUGAAGCCCAGCUUGCUGGGUGGAUUAGUGGCGAACGGGUGAGAAACACGUGAGUAACCUGCCCCCGACUCAGGGAUAAGCCCGGGAAACUGGGUCUAAUACCGGAUAUUACCUCUUGCCGCAUGGCAGGUGGUGGAAAGAUUUAUCGGUGGGGGAUGGACUCGCGGCCUAUCAGCUUGUUGGUGAGGUAAUGGCUCACCAAGGCGACGACGGGUAGCCGGCCUGAGAGGGUGACCGGCCACACUGGGACUGAGACACGGCCCAGACUCCUACGGGAGGCAGCAGUGGGGAAUAUUGCACAAUGGGCGAAAGCCUGAUGCAGCGACGCCGCGUGAGGGAUGACGGCCUUCGGGUUGUAAACCUCUUUCAGUAGGGAAGAAGCGAAAGUGACGGUACCUGCAGAAGAAGCGCCGGCUAACUACGUGCCAGCAGCCGCGGUAAUAUGUAGGGCGCAAGCGUUAUCCGGAUUUAUUGGGCGUAAAGAGCUCGUAGGCGGUUUGUCGCGUCUGCCGUGAAAGUCCGAGGCUCAACCUCGGAUCUGCGGUGGGUACGGGCAGACUAGAGUGAUGUAGGGGAGACUGGAAUUCCUGGUGUAGCGGUGAAAUGCGCAGAUAUCAGGAGGAACACCGAUGGCGAAGGCAGGUCUCUGGGCAUUUACUGACGCAGAGGAGCGAAAGCAUGGGGAGCGAACAGGAUUAGAUACCCUGGUAGUCCAUGCCGUAAACGUUGGGCACUAGGUGUGGGGGACUUUC
rnacentral:rRNA from 1 species